GGGCCUAUGGCGCAAUGGUAGCGCGUCUGACUCCAGAUCAGAAGGUUGG
rnacentral:tRNA from 1 species